rnacentral:rRNA from 1 species
GACGAACGCUGGCGGCGUGCCUAACACAUGCAAGUCGAGCGAGGUGUAUACACCUAGCGGCGGACGGGUGAGUAACACGUGGGUGACCUGCCUCAAAGUGGGGAAUAGCCUCUCGAAAGGGAGAUUAAUACCGCAUAAUAUACGCAUAUUUAACACUGCGUAUCAAAGGAGUAAUCCGCUAUGAGAUGGGCCCGCGGCGCAUUAGCUAGUUGGUGAGGUAACGGCUCACCAAGGCGACGAUGCGUAGCCGACCUGAGAGGGUGAUCGGCCACAUUGGGACUGAGACACGGCCCAGACUCCUACGGGAGGCAGCAGUGGGGAAUAUUGCACAAUGGGGGAAACCCUGAUGCAGCAACGCCGCGUGAGUGAUGACGGCCUUCGGGUUGUAAAGCUCUGUCUUCAGGGACGAUAAUGACGGUACCUGAGGAGGAAGCCACGGCUAACUACGUG